rnacentral:misc_RNA from 1 species
GUAGGUGAACCUGCGGAAGGAUCAUUAACACGUUCCAAAACGUAUCAACCAUGCGGUUAAGUGCAAACUUAUUCCCUAACUGAGGGAGCUGUACAAAUGUCUUUAGUGAUGGGUGGGUCUUCGGACUCGCAAAGACAGUUUGACUAGGGUCUCGAGCCCAAAGCUCCUUUUUUUAGGCUUUUUCCCCCUUUUUUCCAUCACUUCCAACCACCAUUUUCACCCCUCUGAAACUUAUGACUAAAUCUUUCGA